CAAAGGAAUUGACGGGGCCCGCACAAGCGGUGGAGCAUGUGGUUUAAAUUCGAAGCAACGCGAAGGAACCUUACCAGGUCUUGACAUCCCGAUGCUAUUCUAGAGAUAGAAAGUUACUUCGGUACAUCGGUGACAGGUGGUGCAUGGUUGUCGUCAGCUCGUGUCGUGAGAUGUUGGGUUAAGUCCCGCAACGAGCGCAACCCCUAUUGUUAGUUGCCAUCAUUCAGUUGGGCACUCUAGCGAGACUGCCGGUAAUAAACCGGAGGAAGGUGGGGAUGACGUCAAAUCAUCAUGCCCCUUAUGACCUGGGCUACACACGUGCUACAAUGGUUGGUACAACGAGUUGCGAGUCGGUGACGGCGAGCUAAUCUCUUAAAGCCAAUCUCAGUUCGGAUUGUAGGCUGCAACUCGCCUACAUGAAGUCGGAAUCGCUAGUAAUCGCGGAUCAGCACGCCGCGGUGAAUACGUUCCCGGGCCUU
rnacentral:rRNA from 1 species